CUACGGCUUCAGAUCAGCCGUGGCAACCUGUUAAAUAUAAGCACCUUGCUAAAUUGAGGUAAAUAAACUAACCAGUAUUUCAUCAGUAACGGCGAGUGAAGAGUCCAGUGCUGAUUCCACAUCCAAUGGCAGGUGCAGGAAAUGUGGCAUACAGAAGACCGACUCCCUAGCGUUUCUUGCAGGGCCCAAGUCAUUCUGUUUGGGGCCCUCCUUCCAGAUGGUGUUUGGCUUGUAGCGGCUUCUGCCCACCAUGAUCAGUUCUUCUCUGAGUCGGGUUGCUUGGGAAUGCUACCGAAAGCGUGUGGUAAACUCUAUCUCAGGCUAGGUAUGGGCCUGAACCGAUAGCCAACAAGUACCAUAAUGGAAAGUUGAAAUGUACUUUAGAAAGAGAGUUCAAGAGGGUGUGAAACUAUCGAGAGGUAAACGGGAGGGGUCAGUGUAGUCCGACCAGAGGAUUCAACACAGUGGGCAGAUUGGUCACCCAGAAACAGCAGAACCCCUUGUGGGAUAUCCACCAGGGUAUAUCUCCUCUGUGGCGGUGAACCUCAAACGGCUCUGGAUUGGUUGGAAUACCCUAGGGGGCAGGUGGAUCUUGGCUCCAGCAGAGAGUAUUACAGCUCCCUGACUGCAGUUUUGUAAUGUCCAGGGGGCUGAGGAGAUUGAACACUGGUGUGCCCUCCUGUGGCAACCAUCCUAGCCCUCUCUGGGUCACUGGGGCAGAGAUGGGGGAUGGCACCCCCUGCUCCCAGGCAACUGUCGACUGGGGUGGAUUGCCCUCAGUGUGCCCUGACCGCAUUGUGCCACUAGGUGGGAAGGCCCAUGAAGGGUUCCAGGGGUAUGCAGUGACGUUGGUUACCCACCCUACCCGUCUUGAAACACAGACCAAGGAGUCUAUCACUUGCACAAGUCAGAGAGCCAAACACAUCCAUGUGCACAAUGACAGAGAGUCCCGAGCACAUUGGUUGAGGUGGGAUCCAGUUGCGCUGUGCACAGCACCGGCACCUCUCACCCGCUCAAUAGGGCAAGUGGAGCAUGAGCUUGUGUGAUUGGACCUGAAAGAUGGUGAUCUAUACAUAGGCAGGGCAAAGCCAUAGGAACUCUGCUGGAGGUCCGUAGCGAUACUGACAUGCAAACCAGUCAUCUGACCUGGGAAUAGGGGCUGAUGACUAAUUGAACCAUGUAGCAGAUGGUUCCCUCCAAAGUUUCUCUCUGUAUAGCCGACACUCGGAUUCCCCAGUUUUAUUCGGUAAAGCGAAUGAUUAGAUGUAUUGGGGCCAAAACUAACUCAACCUAUUCUCAAACUUUAUAUAUCAGUGAGGAUCCUGGCUCGCUGGCAUGAAGCCAGGCAUCAAAUGCCAGUGUCUAGUGUGCCACCUUUGGUAUGCAGAACUGGCAAUGCAGGAUGAACCAAAUGCCAAGUUAAGGAGCAAAAUGCUGAUGCUCAUCAGACUCUAGAAAAUGUGUUGGUUGAUACAGAUAGCAGAACGGUGGCCAUGGAAGUCAGAAUAUGCUAUGGAGCAUGUAGAAAAAUGCACACGCCAAAUCAAAUAGCCCUUGCAAUGGAUUAUGUUGGAGCAUCAGGCCCAUACCCAGCACCUCCAGCGCGGAGAGCCGCCACAGGUUCAGAUCUUGGUGGUAGUAGCAAAUAACCAAACAAGAACUUUGAAUGCCAUAGUGGAUGAGUGUACCAUGUGAACAGCUGUUGAACAUGGGUCAGUUGUUCCUAAAAAAUGUGUGCAUGCCUUUCAGAAGGGACAGGCAAUGGCUUCUGUUGCCCUCAGCCGAUUGAAAGGGAGUCAGGUUCAGAUUCUCGAAACCAGAGGCACAGAGGCAGCGCCCUCGCAACAUCCACUGCAGCCUCUAAAGGGAGAGAUCUAAUUUAUUUGUGAAGGGCACAGCACCCUGGAAUUGGUUUACCCCAAAAUAGGGUCCUGAGCCUUGCAAAGCAUUGCGGUUCUGUCCAGGCACAACCCACUCCUGGGAGAUUGGAAUGUAGGGAGCUUGACUGGGACAGUACACCUGUCAAAUGAUAAUGCAGGUGUCGUACGGAAACCUCCCACAGAGCUGAAGGGCAAUAGCUUGCUUGAUCUAUAUUUUUGGGUUUCAAGCAGGAUCUGUCAGAAUAUUACCACAGGGAUAGCUGUCAUGUGGCAGCAAAAUGUUCAAGCGAGGUCGUGUUUUGAUCCUUCCAUGUCUGCUUUCAAAUCAUUGUGAAGCAAAAUUCACCAAACAUUGAUUGUUCACCCACUAAUGGGGAACUUGAGCUGGGUUUAGUCUGUUGUGUGACCGGUUAGUUUUACCCUACUGAUGAUGUGUUGUUGCAAUAGUAAUCCUGCUCAGAAACCACAUGUUCAGACACCUGGUGUAUGUGCUUGGCUGAGGAGCCAAUGGGGAGAAGCCGCCAUGUGUGGGCUUAUGACUGAGCGCAUCUAAAUCAGAAUCCCCUAAACCUUAACGUACCUCAGCACUGUGGAACCUCGGUUGACGUAGGAUAGCCUGCCUCUGCAGCAACUUGUAGAGCUGCUUGCCUCAGGACUCGAGUGUGGACAGAAGCCGGCAACCUCUCUUGCUCGUAUUGCACCACAUUUUCAUGCGUAACGUUGUGCAAAAUCAUUUGUAGAUGACCCGAUUCUGUGUCAGGGUUUCGUAAGUAGCAGAGCAGCUACCUUGCUGUGAUCUAUUGGAAGUCAUCCUCUGAAACAAGGUUU
rnacentral:rRNA from 1 species